rnacentral:rRNA from 1 species
AACGCUAGCUACAGGCUUAACACAUGCAAGUCGAGGGGCAUCAGGGUAGCAAUACCGCUGGCGACCGGCGCACGGGUGAGUAACACGUAUCCAACCUACCGUUAACUCGGGGAUAGCCUUUCGAAAGAAAGAUUAAUACCCGAUAGUAUAUUUUCUUCGCAUGUUGAAAAUAUUAAAGAAUUUCGGUUAUCGAUGGGGAUGCGUUCCAUUAGGCAGUUGGCGGGGUAACGGCCCACCAAACCUACGAUGGAUAGGGGUUCUGAGAGGAAGGUCCCCCACAUUGGAACUGAGACACGGUCCAAACUCCUACGGGAGGCAGCAGUGAGGAAUAUUGGUCAAUGGACGAAGGUCUGAACCAGCCAAGUAGCGUGAAGGAUGACUGCCCUAUGGGUUGUAAACUUCUUUUAUGUGGGAAUAAAGUUCUCCACGUGUGGAGUUUUGUAUGUACCAUUAUGAAUAAGCAUCGGCUAACUCCGUGCCAGCAGCCGCGGUAAUACGGAGGAUGCGAGCGUUAUCCGGAUUUAUUGGGUUUAAAGGGAGCGUAGGUGGACUGGUAAGUCAGUUGUGAAAGUUUGCGGCUCAACCGUAAAAUUGCAGUUGAUACUGUCAGUCUUGAGUACAGUAGAGGUGGGCGGAAUUCGUGGUGUAGCGGUGAAAUGCUUAGAUAUCACGAAGAACUCCGAUUG